rnacentral:rRNA from 1 species
UUAGAGUUUGAUCCUGGCUCAGGAUGAACGCUAGCUACAGGCUUAACACAUGCAAGUCGAGGGGAAACGGCAUUGAGUGCUUGCACUCUUUGGACGUCGACCGGCGCACGGGUGAGUAACGCGUAUCCAACCUUCCCAUUACUGUGGGAUAACCUGCCGAAAGGCAGACUAAUACCGCAUAGUCUUCGAUGACGGCAUCAGAUUUGAAGUAAAGAUUUAUCGGUAAUGGAUGGGGAUGCGUCUGAUUAGCUUGUUGGCGGGGUAACGGCCCACCAAGGCAACGAUCAGUAGGGGUUCUGAGAGGAAGGUCCCCCACAUUGGAACUGAGACACGGUCCAAACUCCUACGGGAGGCAGCAGUGAGGAAUAUUGGUCAAUGGACGGAAGUCUGAACCAGCCAAGUAGCGUGCAGGAUGACGGCCCUAUGGGUUGUAAACUGCUUUUGUAUGGGGAUAAAGUUAGGGACGUGUCCCUAUUUGCAGGUACCAUACGAAUAAGGACCGGCUAAUUCCGUGCCAGCAGCCGCGGUAAUACGGAAGGUCCAGGCGUUAUCCGGAUUUAUUGGGUUUAAAGGGAGCGUAGGCUGGAGAUUAAGUGUGUUGUGAAAUGUAGACGCUCAACGUCUGAAUUGCAGCGCAUACUGGUUUCCUUGAGUACGCACAACGUUGGCGGAAUUCGUCGUGUAGCGGUGAAAUGCUUAGAUAUGACGAAGAACUCCGAUUGCGAAGGCAGCUGACGGGAGCGCAACUGACGCUUAAGCUCGAAGGUGCGGGUAUCAAACAGGAUUAGAUACCCUGGUAGUCCACGCAGUA